ACUAAGGUUUUCUCAUUUCUUUCAGAUUGUGUGCCUCCGAGGUGAACGUCUGACUGAAGUGAAGGCGUGGCUGACUGUGGACCUACAAGGUGCUUCUUGGAGGUAAUAAAGAUACAUCAGUGAUGGUGGGGCCGUCACAUUAUCAGCUGUUGUGGAUUUCUCAAACAUCUGUAUUGCAGACUCCACAUAAGGUAAAACACUUCCAUUCAGCAAUUGUUGUGCAGUGUCCAGAUUGUCAACAUUUAUAAGGUGGUAGUCAUCAAGGUGUGGGACGCUGGACAGUAGUGGUCACCUUGUCAUGUCUGGUUCAUCUAUCUUCCACACCAACUUCCUGCAACAUGAUUAUAUGUAUUUAGAUACUCUACAUCUGAAUUAAUUAAGCUAUUUUAUAUCACUACCAAUACACCAUAUUGAGGUUAACUUGUACUGUAUAUUCUUAAAUGCACUAUUUUUAGUAAUAUCAAGUUUUGCUAAAUUAUAUAAAAAAAGGUUUCAGUAAUACUUAACUUUUACAUUACACUGUUCUUACAGUAGUGAACAGAACACCAAUUCUGUUCUUAGUAAGGUGGUAGUCCUCAAGGUGUGGGAUGCUGGACAGUAGUGGUCACCUUGCUGUUUUGUCUGGUUCAUCUAUCUUGUACACCAACCACCUGCAACAUGAUUAUUUGUAUUUAGAUAUUCUACAUCUGAAUUAAUUAAGCUAUUUUAUAUCACUACCAAUACACCAUAUUGAGGUUAACUUGUACUGUAUAUUCUUAAA